rnacentral:lncRNA from 1 species
ACUGUUGAUCUUCUUGGAGAAGCUUGCUGCAGCUGGUUUUCCUGAUGUGCACUCAGCUGUUCCCAUAAUCAGAGGAGCUCAGUCUUCGCCGUCACCGGGAAUGGCUGCUGGUCUUUGCCUUGAGCGUGUCUAGCUCCAGUGCAGACCCCUCAGCCUGGUGGCAUGGACCCUUCAGCCUGCUGGAGCAGGCUUUCUAUUUUGUACCACUGGCCUUUCGGCCUUCCUGAUGCAGAUCCUUGAUACAGACUUGCAGGAGACAUUGCCGUGGGCUCUAGGGUUGUGGCUGGAUUCAUGGAGGACAUUGCUGUGGGAUCGCGGCCUCAGACAGAUCUCUUGCACUCCUCUGCAUUUGAUUUUUUUGGGAGAAUCGAAUGCCCCCACUUACAGCAGGCAGAGCUCAGGCAGAAAGGCAAGCAUGGGAGCAGCUGUAAAUACAGACUGUUGGAGCUAACUUCAGCCUCUGAAGCUUGCUUUUCUCCAAUGGGAGGAUCUAUUUCCUUGAUGAGUAACCAGUCUAGAGUUCCUCAGAAGCCACUAAAGAAACAGUUAAAGACAAAGGAAAAAAGGAUGUCAGAGAGUAUGUGAGUGUCAUGUCAACUGGGGAGAUGGAAACACAAACUGCGUGUUCAUUAUUUCAAAUGUAAUGGCAUAGCAUGGAGCAUACAGAAAUAUUCAGCACAUGGGUGUUUGUAGAAGGGGGUUUAUGGCAGCACUAUUGGAGUAGUGGACAUUUAGAAAACCAAUUAAAUGUCCAGAAUUGAUUAAAUAGGUUGUUUCUCCAUACUUUGAAGAGUGGGAAGGAGGUUUGGGAUGCAAUUCUGUGGCAGAGCAUUUAUUUAGCAUGUGCAAAGUGCUGAUUUGAUCCCUAGAACCACAAAAAUUUAAAAAAAAAUUUAAAUGAGGUAGAAACAAUGCACUGAUUGAUAAUGGGAAACCUGCAGGACAUAGUUGAGUGGAAAAAGCAAGGUAGAACAAUGUAUAUGGCAUGAUGCUUUUACGUUAAAUAUCACGGACCUCCAGGAAGAUGGUGGAGUGGUGAGCAGCAGAGAAAGAGCCUCUUCAAAACUUGGUGUCCUGAUACUGGAAUGUAGCAGUGUGAGGAGCAGAAGAUGAGAAGUUUCUGCCUACUUGGCCCAGCCACCAGUUCUCUGGCACUGGAAUAUAUAAAGAAUUAAAAAAAAUAAGACCCACAAAAUUUAAAGACCCAAUCCAAAAAUGGGCAUCUGAAAUGAACAGACAUUUCUCAGACAAAGAAGAAGAA